AUUGAACGCUGGCGGCAUGCCUUACACAUGCAAGUCGAACGGCAGCAUGGAAGAGCUUGCUCUUCUGAUGGCGAGUGGCGAACGGGUGAGUAAAGCAUCGGAACGUACCGUGUAGUGGGGGAUAACGUAGCGAAAGUUACGCUAAUACCGCAUACGCACUGAGGUGGAAAGCAGGGGAUCGCAAGACCUUGCGCUAUACGAGCGGCCGAUGUCAGAUUAGCUAGUUGGUAGGGUAAAGGCCUACCAAGGCGACGAUCUGUAGCGGGUCUGAGAGGAGGAUCCGCCACACUGGGACUGGGACACGGCCCAGACUCCUCCGGGAGGCAGCAGUGGGGAAUUUUGGACAAUGGGGGAAACCCUGAUCCAGCCAUGCCGCGUGAGUGAAGAAGGCCUUCGGGUUGUAAAGCUCUUUCGGCUGGGAAGAAAUCGCACAGGCUAAUACUCUGUGUGGAUGACGGUACCAGCACAAGAAGCACCGGCUAACUACGUGCCAGCAGCCGCAGUAA
rnacentral:rRNA from 1 species